rnacentral:rRNA from 1 species
GAAACUAAGUGAGCUACUUAAAAAUAGCCCCCAGAGCCAACCCAUCUCUGUUGCAAAAGAGUGGGAAAAUUUUUAAGUAGAGGUGACAGACCUAUCGAACUUAGAGAUAGCUGGUUUUUUAAGAAAAGAAUUUUAGUUCAGCUUUAAAUUUUUAUGUUAAACAAAAAUAGCCUUAAAUUUAAAAGUUAUUCAAAUAAGGCACAGCUUAUUUGAAAUAGGAUACAACCUAAUACUUAGGGUAAGACACCAAGAUUUUAACAAGUGGGCCUAAAAGCAGCCAUCUUUGAAAAAGCGUCAAAGCUUAGUAAUUACGAAUUAUUUAAUACCUACCUGCACUUCUAACCCUUAUCUACUAUUAAAAAACUCCAUAAGAUUAUGGAAGCUAUUAUGCUAGAACAAGUAACAAGAAUUAGACUUUCUCCAAAAUGUAAGCUUAAGCCAUAAUAGACAUUCUACUGGCAAUUAACGCCUAUAAGCCCCUUGUAACAACACAAACAAGAAAACUUUACACCGCCUGACGUUAACCUUACACAAGCACAU